rnacentral:tRNA from 2 species
UCCCUCGUGGCGCAAUUGGCUAGCGCGUUCGACUGUUACCAGUGCAUUGUGUAAUCGAGAGGUUGGUGGUUCGAGCCCACCCGAGGGAG